UAAAGCCCCUCUGGCUUUUCAUCCGUUUUCUGUCUUUGGGGGGCCCAGAGCUUUUCUCUGCCGAGUGCCUCUAGCAUUAGCCAUCCUCAGUCGGCUACACAGCACCAGGGAGAGUUUGCUUUUGCACAUCAGCAUUCGCAGCAACGCCUGUUUAAACCGUGUCACCCGUUCCCUGGCAUCUUCGAUCCACUUACAUCUGGGCUGAGAAUCGGGGCCGCCUCGUGGACAUCCAAGCAAGCUGGACCCACGCUCAGAAGCUGCCUGAACUUGGGCUUCCACGCAACGUGCACCCUUGAGAUUCUUCACGACUUGCCUCUGGAUUUGGUUUGUAGCCGCCUGGACUCUGCGGCCCUCACCUGCCACCGGGAAUGCCUGUGCAGACCUUUGGGACAGUUACCUAAGCCCCUCACGCAGCCAGGGGUGGGGUCCUGGAGCCCCCACGAGAAGCCUUCGUGGGUCCACUCGGCUUUGCACUACGUUUAUACCUCACUGGCCGGACUCACUGAGACCUUAUCACUGGCCCACAUCUGUGCCACUUGUCCUCAUGGAGCAUCACUCCAAGUGCCACCGCCAGCCCACCACACCCCAAAUGCAACCCCAGCCCAGUGGGUCAGAACCACCAGGACACACGUCUCCAGCCACAGCUCCUCCCCCAGUGGCCGGCCGAGUGGCCCCGCUGCUGACCCUGGUCUCCCU